CAUGAAAAACCCUCAAUGGGACGCCAGCAUGACAAACCCGGGACAGGAAAGCACUGCCUGGGAUAGCCUGGCAGAAGGGAAAAGGGCGAAAGCAACCUUUUCUCUGCAUAGACUGAUACAAAAAAAAAAAAAAAAAAAAAAAAACAAAAACUAAAAGCCGGGACAGAAGGGUGAGGGGAUGUAGGUAUCUUCUACUUGCAAACAGCGAGCAGAUGUUUGAGGUUUAGUCGACAGCUGAGAUUCAAGGACAACACAGCGCUUGGUGUGCUCACAGAAUAAAAGGAAAAGACCUUUGAAGUGGCUGGCAGUAGACUCAACCUUAAACCCAUCAAGUCAACAGAGCUUACAACAUCUGGAUGUACCUGUCUGUACUAUUAAAAUACAGUGCUGGGAUAAUGGGGUGGUAUGGAAUUGAGGGGAACUUUCACUGAUCUUUAUUACUGUAAGGAAACACAGUAAAUCACAGGACACAGAACUUACACUCCUGUACAGUACAAGGUAAGGCUGGAGAAGGGUGUAAGUUUGGGGACCCAGCUGCUGGCAUAAUAUCAACAUUUAGUAGAACAAGCACUGAAAUAUAGAAAAAUGGGAAUUUUAAAAAAUAAAAGCCAAGAAAACAAAGACUUCAAGUUCCAAAAUGUUACUGUAAGGUUAGGCACAGCACAAACCAAUAUUAAAUGUUCUGAAUUUUAAAAACACCUAUAUUCCAUUUGGGAGUCUGGGAAGGCUAUGUAACCUAAUGUGACAGCAAUGGAAAUGCUGCUAGCUCCACUGACCCAUGCAUCUUUACUUCUCUGAACUCAGAACAGUUUAUGCUGCUGAUGGACAGCUAAGCAGCAUUGUAUCUCUCAUGUACUGUUUUCCUCUUGUGCUGCAAUAAGCCUCUUAGAAAAAAAGUUACAUAUUUCCAAAAGUGCAGGACUGCAAAGUGCUUCACCUGUUUGCUUCAUUUGAAGAGUAAUUCCGUUUCAUACACACAACAGGACACUUGGCAAACAUACUUGGUGCCUAGCAAUUUCAUCAUGGCCAAACGUUUUGUUGAAUGAAAAGUGGACUGAAUAUCAGCUGACAGUACUGUAGUGUUCUCUCUUGUUCUGAAAGCAUGGAGAGUAUCUUAGAACAGGAAAAGGGAUAUAGCUAUCCAGUGUGUCUGUGUGAAAAAGCUGAAAUCCAGAAAAAGAAAUUAACUGCCCUUAGAAUAUUUUUAUGAACUCACAUUCAAUUUUUAUCUCUCAGAGGAAAUGUUGAUCAGAGCACCCAUGAAUCGGAAGGAAACACAAGCUAAAAUUUAUUCUGCAUAAGCACAGAAGAAAAGCAAAAUACCUUACACUGAUUUUUUAUUGAUUUUUGUGUAAAACACAGUCUAUGGAAAAAUAGAUAAGAGCAUUACUAAUAAUUUAUAAUAGCCCUGUUCAUAGAGACAGCACAAACAGUCUGACAAACACAACUACAAAGAGAAUAUUACACAUGGGAGACAUAUUAUGCUUACUGUAACACACUGCCAACAAGGCAUGAGAAACAAUAUAUAAUGACAGAGAUCAUUGUUCAAAUCAGUUAAACGUGUCACUUAUUUUAAAGGCUGUAAUCUAAUUAAUUCAAGCAGUAUCAUAUGGUGAUACACUAUCAGUACUGCAACAUUAUUCAUUAUAUUGACAGAAAAUACUACAGGAUCAACAGCAAAGAAAUCAAAACCUUGUGUAUUAAGAGAUGUACUGUCUGCAAGGAACUAUGAAUAUGCAUUCAUUACCACUGCAUAUGUGAAAAUAUUACACUGAAAAAUUCAACCUAUCUAAUUUUUAUGCACCUGAUAUAUCUAACUUUAGGAGGAAAGCUGUUUCCUAACUAUAUUCAUAUCUGUGAAAUUUAUUGCCACUGGGGAACUCAUUGCCUUAUAUUAAUUAACUAUUUCCUUUAAUGCCAGUUGGGCAGCUAAUACCAUACAGACACAAACAUAAAGACACACUAUUUUAUAGGCAAUUAAUGCCAAAUAAAAAUAUUCUUGGCACAUCAUAUAAUUUACAA